UACGUAGGGACCAAGCGUUGUCCGGAAUCAUUGGGCGUAAAGCGCGCGUAGGUGGCCAUUUAAGUCCGCUGUGAAAGUCAAAGGCUCAACCUUUGAAAGCCGGUGGAUACUGGAUGGCUAGAGUACGGAAGAGGCGAGUGGAAUUCCUGGUGUAGCGGUGGAAUGCGCAGAUAUCAGGAGGAACACCAAUAGCGAAGGCAGCUCGCUGGGACGUUACUGACACUGAGGCGCGAAAGCGUGGGGAGUGAACAGG
rnacentral:rRNA from 1 species